rnacentral:lncRNA from 1 species
GGGUCGAGGCCGUGGCCCCGGCUGGGGCUCCAGCUCCAGUUCGCGGCGCUGCUGCUCGGGACGCUGAGUCCACAGGUUCAUACUCUCAGGCCAGAGAACCUCCUGCUGGUGUCCACCUUGGAUGGAAGUCUCCACGCACUAAGCAAGCAGACAGGGGACCUGAAGUGGACUCUGAGGGAUGAUCCCGUCAUCGAAGGACCAAUGUACGUCACAGAAAUGGCCUUUCUCUCUGACCCAGCAGAUGGCAGCCUGUACAUCUUGGGGACCCAAAAACAACAGGGAUUAAUGGUUUGUAUCCCAUGGUGUUCGGGAAUGGGUGAGAGCCAGGGCUUUCGUCAGCUGGAGCACUGAGAGGUGGAGAGGCAGUAUGGUCAGUAUCUCCUGUUCUGCAGAGGAUAUAAGUCAGGACUCAGCACAUUGUGAGAAGGCUGUCUGAGGGACCUGUUGAAAGGGUGGUAAGGGGAGGUCUGGCUGUGUCUGCAGGGCAAUCUGACUAUCAAGCUGGAGGUAUCCCAGGGCCUUCUCCAGGACUCUGAGGGCUUUAAAGAGAAAUGUAUAUACCAGUUAGCUUUUGCUAAAU